rnacentral:rRNA from 1 species
AGGGAGCGUAGGCGGCUGAUUAAGUCAGCGGUGAAAGGUAGCAGCUUAACUGUUUUACAUGCCGUUGAUACUGGUUAGCUUGAGUUGACAGAAGGCAGAUAGAAUUCCUGGUGUAGCGGUGAAAUGCUUAGAUACCAGGAGGAAUACCGAUUGCGAAGGCAGUCUGCUGCAGUCACACUGACGCUGAGGCUCGAAGGUGCGGGGAUCAAACAGGAUUAGAUACCCCGGGU